rnacentral:rRNA from 1 species
UGAGGAAUAUUGGUCAAUGGACGAGAGUCUGAACCAGCCAAGUAGCGUGAAGGAUGACUGCCCUAUGAGUUGUAAACUUCUUUUAUACGGGAAUAAAGUUAGCCACGUGUGGCUUUUUGUAUGUACCGUAUGAAUAAGGAUCGGCUAACUCCGUGCCAGCAGCCGCGGUAAUACGGAGGAUCCGAGCGUUAUCCGGAUUUAUUGGGUUUAAAGGGAGCGUAGGCGGGUUGUUAAGUCAGUUGUGAAAGUUUGCGGCUCAACCGUAAAAUUGCAGUUGAUACUGGCGACCUUGAGUGCAACAGAGGUAGGCGGAAUUCGUGGUGUAGCGGUGAAAUGCUUAGAUAUCACGAAGAACUCCGAUUGCGAAGGCAGCUUACUGGAUUGUAACUGACGCUGAUGCUCGAAAGUGUGGGUAUCAAACAGGAUUAGAUACCCUGGUAGUCCACACAGUAAACGAUGAAUACUCGCUGUUGGCGAUAUACGGUCAGCGGCCAAGCGAAAGCAUUAAGUAUUCCACCUGGGGAGUACGCCGGCAACGGUGAAACUCAAAGGAAUUGACGGGGGCCCGCACAAGCGGAGGAACAUGUGGUUUAAUUCGAUGAUACGCGAGAAACCUUACCCGGGCUUAAAUUGCAACUGACUGAACCGGAAACGGUUCUUUCUUCGGACAGUUGUGAAGGUGCUGCAUGGUUGUCGUCAGCUCGUGCCGUGAGGUGUCGGCUUAAGUGCCAUAACGAGCGCAACCCUUAUCGAUAGUUACUAGCAGGUCAUGCUGAGGACUCUAUUGAGACUGCCGUCGUAAGAUGUGAGGAAGGUGGGGAUGACGUCAAAUCAGCACGGCCCUUACGUCCGGGGCUACACACGUGUUACAAUGGGGGGUACAGAAGGCAGCUACACGGCGACGUGGUGCUAAUCCCGAAAGCCUCUCUCAGUUCGGAUUGGAGUCUGCAACCCGACUCCAUGAAGCUGGAUUCGCUAGUAAUCGCGCAUCAGCCACGGCGCGGUGAAUACGUUCCC